rnacentral:rRNA from 1 species
AGUGAACGCUGGCGGUAGGCCUAACACAUGCAAGUCGAACGGCAGCACAGUAAGAGCUUGCUCUUACGGGUGGCGAGUGGCGGACGGGUGAGGAAUACAUCGGAAUCUACUUUUUCGUGGGGGAUAACGUAGGGAAACUUACGCUAAUACCGCAUACGACCUACGGGUGUAAACAGGGGAUCUUCGGACCUUGCGCGAUUGAAUGAGCCGAUGUCGGAUUAGCUAGUUGGCGGGGUAAAGGCCCACCAAGGUGACGAUCCGUAGCUGGUCUGAGAGGAUGAUCAGCCACCCUGGAAAUGAGACGCGGUCCAGACUCCUACGGGAGGCAGGAGUGGGGAAUAUUGGACAAUGGGCGCAAGCCUGAUCCAGCCAUACCGCGUGGGUGAAGAAGGCCUUCGGGUUGUAAAGCCCUUUUGUUGGGAAAGAAAAGCAGCAGGUUAAUACCCCGCUGUUCUGACGGUACCCAAAGAAUAAGCACCGGCUAACUUCGUG